GUGGGACCGCGGGAACCAGGAAGUGUUAAUUGUUGGCAGUAUAAAUAUCGGCACCAUAAGGGUGCAAGAGAACCAGGUAGUCGAUGUGCAGCUGUGUUUUGGUGUUCCUGUGUUCCCGUGGUUCCCCCUGUGACGAGGGCGAGUCGGCGGAUAUUCUUUUGGACGUCAGUAUUCCGGACUCUCCCGAGGUGGUGGUUGACUGCCCUUCUGGGCUUUGGUGGGUGGAGCAGCCAAAUAUUUAUUAAUUGGAUGGACGUUUCUCUAUCUCUCCUCUAGGUGUCGCUGGGGACAAUAAAUAAGCAAUUAUUCUAUUGUGCAAGAUAUAUGGUUAGGAUUGUGUGUAAUUGCACUGCAGCAAUUGUGGGUUUUAGUGUUGUUGUUGAUAAUAAAGAUUUUGUUGGCACAACCAAUUUCCAUUCUUUUGUCUUUUCAUUUAUUUGAGAGGGGCUCUGUGUGGGGUACCCAAAUAUUGCUGCUAGAUUAAUAAGGUUAUGUGAGGUUCUAUUUCUCGUUAAACUAUAGAUGGCGUAGUCUGCAUCGCGACCUGUACAGUUAA